UUUGUCAAUCUCUUUCUUAGGCUGCUUUGCACUGAUCCAUGGAUCUAAAACCUCAUUUAUAGCAGCAGCAAACUCCCUACUCUUGAAUGAUUUCAUAACUAACUCGUGCAACUUCCCACGGGUAUAGCCAAUGAACUGCGGGUGUAAGCCAUGAAAAGCGGGUGUAGGCCAUGAAACAGACUGUAAUGUUUGCCGCUUUCAGAAUUUCCAUCACUAGGGAUAACAUCCAUUGUACUAUCAGCUUGUCCACUAUGCUUCGCCCUUCCUCUGGCAUUAGCUUCAGGAAUCCUGCCAGCAGAGCUAACU
rnacentral:lncRNA from 1 species